CAUGCGCUGAUUUAUUGCUACAUGACUUUUCUCCCUUCGCCGAGUUCACUGAAACCUUUGUGAAACGUGAAUGAAAAGACUAACAUGGCGAAAGAACACCGUACAUUCAAAGAGAAGUGCAUUUAUAUUGAGCGCUUAAACGAAAACUCGUUUCUUAUCAAGAAAGGCUUUGUCCCAAACAUGAAGGUUGAAGGUAUCUUAGAUAUAUAAACGAGCUGCUUGAAAAACUAAUGUUUGAUAAGCUGAAGCACUGGGCUGGAACUCAAGAACUGGAGUGUCAUGGCAGCAACUUCCAGUCAUGGUCUGUUCUUGUUAUUCAGUGAUGACAAACCUCUUCUCAGUUGCCAUGAUUUAAAUAUUGUGUAUUGUGUCAACCCAGAAGAAUCAGUGGGCAGAGCCUUAUUCAAAUAAAUCAUGGAUAUCCAAACUGAGCAGGAAUUGUCCCCGGGCCACCGACGUGCUGGCACACAUUGGCUAUAUUCCUCGAACAGUCAUUCAGUACGCUAAGUACCUUCUAAGAGGCAACAGUAACGUUGAACUUUUCAUGGUCAAGGCAAUUACUAAUAUUCUACAAGUACUAGAAGACGAAGCACUGUAGAUUCCUGAUAGGUGCAAACGUGUGCGCAUCAGGUCACUAGCGAUGAUAAGUACUUGCAAGGCUAGUGGUAUGUUUGAAAUGAGGUGGUCACCAUCAACCUUUUCCUGGUCUUGUUUGAAACCACCAGGAUUCGAUUUGAAAGAAGUAUCCGUCGUUAGCCCUCUGGUUGAAGAAGCUGUUGUGCAGUUUACGUUGGAAAAUCCUAAUUAUUUGUUGGAUGUAGUGGAUACCAUAAAAGGCCUAUCUGCAGGGAGACCUGGCAACUUAGUUGGCAAAUAUUGGGAGAAGCUGAUAUUUAGCAAUCUCAAGGAAUGUGA